rnacentral:rRNA from 1 species
UACAGAGGUCUCAAGCGUUGUUCGGAUUCAUUGGGCGUAAAGGGCUCGUAGGCGGUUUGUCGCGUCGGGAGUGAAAACCAUGGGCUUAACUCAUGGCUUGCUUCCGAUACGGGCAGACUAGAGGUAUGCAGGGGAGAACGGAAUUCCUGGUGUAGCGGUGAAAUGCGCAGAUAUCAGGAGGAACACCGGUGGCGAAGGCGGUUCUCUGGGCAUUACCUGACGCUGAGGAGCGAAAGCGUGGGGAGCGAACAGG